rnacentral:ribozyme from 1 species
AGCGGGAGAGGAAAGUCUGGACACCAUAGUGCGGUAUAGCGGGUAACGCCCGUCCACUGAAAAGUGAGGACAAGUGCAACAGAAAGCA